rnacentral:rRNA from 1 species
UAGUAACGGCGAGUGAAGAGGGAAAAGCUCAAAUUUUGAAUCUGGUGUCUUUGACUCCCGAGUUGUAAUCUAGAGAAGUGUUUUCCGCGUUGGACCGUGUACAAGUUCCCUGGAACGGGGCGUCAUAGAGGGUGAGAAUCCCGUAUAUGCCACGGACUACCAAUGCUCUGUGAUACACUCUCAACGAGUCGAGUUGUUUGGGAAUGCAGCUCAAAAUGGGUGGUAAAUUCCAUCUAAAGCUAAAUAUUGGCGAGAGACCGAUAGCGAACAAGUACCGUGAGGGAAAGAUGAAAAGCACUUUGGAAAGAGAGUGAAACAGUACGUGAAAUUGUUGAAAGGGAAGCGUUUGAAGUCAGUCACGUCUGUCGGAAUUCAGCCUGGCUUCUGCCUGGUGUACUUUCCGUCCGACGGGUCAGCAUCAAUUUCGACCGAGGGAAAAAGACGUGAGGAAUGUGGCUGUCUUCGGGCAGUGUUAUAGACUCGCGUUGUAUGUCUCGGUUGGGAUUGAGGAACGCAGCGCGCCUAUUGGCCGGGGGUUCGCGCCCCUCGGUACGCGCUUAGGA